rnacentral:rRNA from 1 species
UACGUAGGCAGCGAGCGUUGUUCGGAGUUACUGGGCGUAAAGCGUGCGUAGGCGGUGGCCUAAGUCUGUUGUGAAAUCUCCCGGCUUAACCGGGAGGGUGCGGCGGAAACUGGGUUGCUGGAGUGCGGGAGAGGUAAGCGGAAUUCCCGGUGUAGCGGUGAAAUGCGUAGAUAUCAGGAGGAACACCGGCGGUGUAGACGGCUUUCUGGACCGUAGCUGACGCUGAGACACGAAAGCGUGGGUAGCAAACAGG